UGAAAGACAAUUUAUUUUUAGUAAAUAUGAUAGUCCCCCACAUGGGAAGCUACAACCAUGCCAAAAAUGUCCUAAGAGGAGAUAAAAUCCUAUUUAUAGAGCUAUCAGUUGCUCCUUGCUUAGGUUGUAACAUAGUUUCCACUUUAAGCCUGAUAUGACCUCCCCUGACUUCUCUGGUCUCUAAUGGUCUUUUCAUCCUGAAGUUUCUCACAUUUAUCUUUAUCUCCACAGGGUACUUAAAUUGAGCUACUAUGGAGUGGGGGGAAGGGGGAAGGAAAGAAACUCCUUCCCCUAAACCUUCUCCUGCCUGAGAGUUUUAGCAGUGGCAACACCCAAACCUCAUCUCAGCCCCGCCCUGCCCUGCUGCAUACCUGGAUGAAACUUAAAUUUCAAGAUUGUCUGAGGAAGGAAUUAUAGGAUGAAGAAAGUCAUCAAAAACACACAAAAGCAUCACGAACAAAGAUUUGUCACUCCCAGAGACUAUCCCAUGUAUAAACUAUAUUCUUGAGUUCAACAAUGCAGAAAACUUUUUGUAAGGAAAAAUAAAAAGUACAUUCCUACAAGCAAGUAUUGUCAAAAACUUUAACAGCAAAGACAGAUAUAACAGGUACACAGAGAUGUGCCAGAGGAAACGGACUUCCUCCUUCACCUGCUUAGCAAAAGUAGUCCUCCUUUCUUCCCCAUCUCUCACCUGAGGCUACCUGGAACUCUUCAGCACUCAGACACGUACCACCUCUCUGAAAGUGGACUAUACUUAACGACAAAGAGAAUCACCUGAACUUGUGCUCAAAGAAGCAUGUGCAAAGAUUUUUCAAUGCAGUGCUGUUUGCAACACUGAAAAACUGAAAAGCACCUCAAUAAUAGUGAAAUACUGUUAUCAACUAUUGUUGAUAUUGUUGACUAUUCAACAUGCUCUGUUAAAAUGCAAGUGUUUUAAAAGUUUCAGGUGUACAGCAAAGUGAUUCAGUUAUACAUAAGUAGCUGAAAUUUAAAGCAGACAUGGAAUUACAAGGCAAGCUAAUGGAACAGAUGGGACAGCAAUCAGAGGUGUUAAACUCCAAAGAGGAAAGGCAGCUAUACUGCUAUAAGCAAGAGUUAUUGACCUAGUAAGACUGAAAGACUUAGAAACUGACUGCCAAGGCACAGAAGCUGCUCAAAAAUAAAAAGAAUAUAUAAGAAAUAAAAUACCAACCAUAAGAAUUUUACUACAGAGAUAGCAAUGAAACCUGUUUAGAAGCUUCUGGUAAGUGAAUGUGUGAAAGAGUAACAGACGGAUCCUUAAGUAACUGGCAAAUACAGCAACUGUGAUGGAUCAUGCACGUACAACGGACACUGAAGAAGUGAAGAAAAAUAUUACCUGACAUUUGUAUUCUUCACUAGCUGCUUAGAAGCUCCCA